rnacentral:antisense_RNA from 1 species
CUUCAACGAGCCCAGCAGCAGCGGUCGUUCGCGGUCCUGGCCGUAGGUCGCCAGCAGCGCCUGCGCCUC